UUCAGCUAGUUAUGACAAAUAAUUAUUAAUAAACAUUCAAAAACAUUGUGUAUUAGUAUUUCCCAUCGAUGGAGAAGGAAUUGAGGAUUAUUAUUGCCUUAGAGACGUAGUCGUGGAGACCUUAAGGGACCUCUUGGUCCUUGUGCUUCACAUUGUAUUUUGGAGAUGAGCCACUCAAUCAUCCGCCUAUCCUUAUAUCGUGAGGAUGUUACAAUGAGCCAAUCUGAGGGACUCAAUCUCACAUGAAAAUUUCUCCAGACUUCUUCCUCCACCAUCCUAAGUAUCUGGGAUCUUACCGGGACUUGUUUGAAAAAAUACAGGACGUCCCCAGUCUGUACCUCAAGUCAUUUUUGACGUGUGUCAGUGAAUGGGUUCUUCAAAAUGACGUUUGGAUCUGAAUGUUCCAUGCCAUUGCUAAUGCCAAGCCGUUUAAACCUUCGCCUUGUGAUUGAUGAAGGGUCCUUCUCUUCACGACCAAUAUUAACAGUAUAUGCUAGCCUAAUCAUUUUGUUAGGAAUGACUUCUAAUGCAAUAGUGAAUGCAGGGAUCGGAGGACCGAGAUAAUUACUUUUGAAAUCUCGUCUAGAAUUUAUAAUUCAUAAAGCGAGACAGAAUGAGAUAGUAGUUGUCUAAUGGUGGGUUAUCCUUGAAAAUUUUAGUAGCAUAAUCCAUGAAGUAAUUUAGACCCAAAAUAAAUGUAAACACUUUGAGAGAAUAAUUGAAACAAUUAAAUAUAGCACAAAUAAGAAAGAAAUCAAUGGAACAUAAAAUAGUUAGUAGAACUCUCAUGAGAGUUGAGAAGAAGAUGUUGCUAUUAUAAUAAUGGUUUUGCCCUUAAAUGUAAUGUACUAUAGUAUUUGAAUUGUUAAUUAUAUACUCUAUUUAUAAUUUAAAUUUGAAAUGGAACAAAUUUUAAUUA
rnacentral:lncRNA from 1 species